UCCGGUUUGUCACCGGCAGUCUCCCUAGAGUGCCCAACUCAAUGCUGGCAACUAAGGACAAGGGUUGCGCUCGUUGCGGGACUUAACCCAACAUCUCACGACACGAGCUGACGACAACCAUGCACCACCUGUCACCUCUGCCCCGAAGGGAAGGUACAUCUCUGCACCGGUCAGAGGGAUGUCAAGCCCUGGUAAGGUUCUUCGCGUUGCUUCGAAUUAAACCACAUGCUCCACCGCUUGUGCGGGCCCCCGUCAAUUCCUUUGAGUUUCAGUCUUGCGACCGUACUCCCCAGGCGGAGUGCUUAAUGUGUGAACUUCGGCACUAAAGGUAUUGAAACCUCUAACACCUAGCACUCAUCGUUUACGGCGUGGACUAC
rnacentral:misc_RNA from 1 species